ensembl:lncRNA
AAGGAUGGAAAAGUACAUGUAUGUGGUCUGAAAGCCUGCAAAAUAAGGCAAGUAGGAAAGAGUCUGGUGUGGAGGUUCACUCGGAAUAUGUGUCUGUUCAGGAACAUCAACUGCCAGUGCAAUGACAACCUGGAAACCGAAACGCCGUACACCUUUGAUCAAGAAGCCGCAGUGCUCCCCGAAAUGUGGGAUGCUAUGCAAACCCAGCAACUCAAGGUGGUGGAACUAAAACCAGAAACAAAGGACUACAGAGAGGCGGCAGAAAGGUUUCUGAAGACCACUCGGCUUCUAAAACAUGAAAAGGUAUUUCAUGUGAUGCUUAUGACCUUCAAACCUGUUGCAAAAUAUUUCCACUCUCAAGAAGAAGCUGCUUGCUUCUGGCACCAAGACUUAGGAUGCUGAAAACAUACCAAGUAAGGUGAUUUUAAUGGAAGUGCCUGCGUGUAUGGUCUCUGUUCAGGUAGCUACUAUGCAUUUUUCUCUUCUGCUUAUUCAAGUGUAAAAACUUAGCAGGCAGAGGUUGAUUCCCUAUCCAGAAACAAGGGAAAAGCAAUUUGCUAAUGAAGGCUGCUAUUGCUUAGGUCUACACAAAUACUCUUCCUAAAAAACUUCCUGUUUGAGCAUUACUGACUGUUUGCUUCUGGUGGCGUAGAAGCAUGUGCCAGACUGUUUGCCAGUGUGAUAAUCCUCAAGAGAUUACCCCUGAUUUGAGCUGCCCUGAUGAUGUGAAGCCAGUUUUGACAUGAUGUUGGUAUCCAGUAAAUUUUUUACAGUCAAGCUAUUAGCUUCAAGCAUUAGCUACUCCUGAAGUGACAAGGCUACAUACCUCCGCAUGUAAGUGUCACUUUUGCAUAGGCAUCAACUACUCAACAGUCAAGUUACAUGAGAGGUUAUUCGGGACGUUUCCCCAAAGAAUAAGAGAUCAGUGGCAGUAAUGCCAUCUGUUUUACCAAUUUUAAUCAGCAUCAAUUUGAUGCUGCAUCAAGUUAAGGUAUCUGGAGCAAGUCUUAAGCAAUUGCUUCUGAAGUUUCAUUAGAUCACUUUUGCUACAGUAGAGCAGAGCAUCUGCUGCCUUAACCCAUAUGUGCUUGGCAGGUGGGUGUUUUGCAGGUUUCUGGGUCAUACACAAAACUAUCCCACGUUAUUUCCCUGUUGCAUUUUGGGUUGGGUAAUGCUGUCUGUUGUGCUGAAGUCUGGAGUGAUGUGCCUAACUUAUUUUAUAAGGUAGCCUACAUGUGUUGUAGCUAGGAGUAGAAUCUUGGAGCACUGAAUUGUUGAUACACUGAUGCUUUUUAUGACAACAAGCUAAAAAAAAAAAGUCUUAAUUUCAAACUCUGCAGAUUGAAAGGGUACAGAACCCAUUUUUGUGGAAGACCUAACAAAUAAAAAAGCAUCACAUGGCUGAGAAAAAUGUCAGUGGAGAUAAUGAGAAGCUUUUGUGUCAUGGAACAAGUCAUUAACCUUAAUUAACAACUCUGGAUUUAAUCGGAGCUAUGUUGGAAUGCAUAAUAAUGUGAAUUUCAACACUGCUUGUUUCCUUGAACUGGUCUAGGAAUAACUCAUGUCCUUUGUGUAGUCUUGCCUUGUAUGCAAAAUGUUCUAUUUUGUUAAAUCUCCCUAUUGCCAUCAUUACAGCCUGUGAAUCUCUUGGCAGAUAAGUGAUUGUUAUUAAUGAAAUACAUUUUUUUUUUCUGACUAUAGCUGCAAACUUUGGAAAUGGAAUGAACUUUGCUGUUAAUGCCAGCUAUUCUGCCCACAACAUCUAUUAUAAACCAGAUGUGGAUGGAAAGAAAUACAUGCACAUGGCUCGAGUACUUGUUGGAGAAUGUUCUCAAGAGACAAGAGGAUCAAUUACUCCAGCAGCAAAAAGUGCUAGCAACUCCAUGGAUCUGUUUGAUAGCUCAACUGAUAACGUAAACAAUCCAUCCAUGUUUAUCAUAUUUAAUGAUAUUCAAGCUUACCCAGAAUACCUUAUCACUUUCACUAGAUGAGCAUUUUGAUUGCAGCCACGUUUGCAUGUCUCUUCAUUUUAUAAAUCUGUCCUGCACAUUAAUACAUAUAUAUAUAUGUACACAUAUAUAUAUGUAUAUAUAUAUGUGUGUAUAUACAUAUAUAUAUAUCAGUGAAAACAAGUAGUUUUAUCAAAUUAAUUUUUUAAAGCUUGUUUAUAUUUAAGCAACCUUUGGCAAUUUUUGAUAGCACUGCCAUAGACUACUUUUUUCCACUUGGAGCAGUUGAACCUAUCUAACAGGAGUUCAAUUUGACAUGUAACCUAACCGUAGUUUUCAGUAGAAAUCCUACACCUGUCCACCCCCUUUAUAAUAUCUUGGCCUUUCCAUGCAGCAUCCCGGCCAUCCUAGUUGCAACAAAGAGUGGGUAGUGCUGUUGGGGGAUUGAAAGACAUUCUCUCAACCACUGACUGCAUGGUGUUGCAUUUCUGAUAGAGUAUGAGAAGCUAUCAUAAAUUAUAACGCUGACUGUCAUUUACUGUGGGUUUCAAUAAAUGAACUAAUUGUAGUUAAUGGCUUGUGUUUAUCUAAAACAAUCUCUCGAGAUAUUUAGCAUUGGUUUUCAAAAGUUCAAUAACAGGCAGCUACUUGGGGAAUGAAGUCUCUAAUAUGGCGUUGCUUGAUUUUAAUAUGAUAGCCCUCCUGGGCACGUCAGUAAGAGGAUUUGUAAACCUCACCCAACUUCUGCAAUUAGUUAAUACCCAAGCUAAUUAGGUAUAGCCGAAGAGAGCCAUGAAAAUAAGUGUAAGGAAGGUGUCCCUGCUCUUGUACGCUACCUGUAGUGCCCUUCCUGUGAUCUUAAGGAGAAAAGAACAGGGCAAAGAAAGGCAAGGGGUGCGUGUGUUGGAAAAGGGGGGGNNNNNGGUUUGUUUGUGUGUUUGUUUGGUUGGGCUAAGGACUUUUUGACAAGGCUUGAGGAAAUAGUUUAUUUCAACGAGGUAAUGAUUAACCAAGCCAAAGUUCAGAGUUUCAUUGGGAGUGGGGGGAGAAUCAGAGCAAUAUAAUUUCUGUAGCAUAUUGACAAUAAAAUAAAUACUUUGAACAGCAUCAGGUGUCAUGAGGUCAACUGAGAAAGCAGAGUGCUGCAGCACCUCCAACUUUUUAGCAGUUCUUGGCUCUGCUGAAUUUAUCAGGUUUGUCUUGUUAUUCGUUUGGAUGAUUAGGAGACAAUUAUCAAUUACUUCUUUUUAAUAGGUUGCUACUAGUUGAAAGUUUUUGCUAAUAUAUUUUUCAUAUGUCCCCAGCAGUCAUUCAAAAAUGAAGCUUCAUGUGGGGUUCUGAAAGUGACUAGCUUUCCUCCAGUGUUAUUAAGGGCUUAUUAAGAUUUUAUUAAGAAUUAAUACUGUUUUGCAGGUUGAAAGGAUAUGUAUUUAUCUCUGGUUAAAGAGAGUAAUGCAGUUAACUAAACAGUGCUCAAAAAACCCUCGAGUGUGUGCGGCUUACAACACCAGCACUCGCAGCCUGUCUUGGCUAUGAUAUAAACUCUUUUCACGUUGCAAUUUUUCUUCAGUCUUUCAAACUUGCACUUUUUAUACUUGCAGAGGUGGGGACACUUCCUGCACUUCAGAAGACUGGAAAAACUUUGCCCAUUACUGGAUGUGCAAUAACUCAGUGGCUCUUAACUGGAAAACAUUCCUUUUCAAGGCCCAAGUGUGGGACCUUGAAGAAGAUAACUCCAGCUGUAGCGAUGUGAGGGAGGUUAUGGCGUUAGUGAAGAAAAACAAGUCCGGGUGAAGGAAAAGCCUUGCAAGCGUAGCAGCGAGGAACAGCGUGCCCCUUUCUCAGGGGGAGGCUGUGGGGGGUUGUACAGGUGCAGGCUCAGGAGCUCACUGUGAGCAGUCACCAAGGGCAAAGUGCCAGGGGCCCAAAUGCCUGAAGUUUCCCUUUCGAAGCCAAGAGACUUAAAGAAAGAUCUCUUAGAAAUGCAGGCGGUCGCUGUCUCAGCAGCGUGACAGGUGCCAGGGUUAACAGCCCUGGAGCAACUCGUUUAUGGUGGUGAAACGCAAGUUUUGUGAUUCUGACCAUGCCUGAGGCGCGCUGUGGGUGAAGGCGCAGGG